CCUAUUUGAAAUUAACUAAGAGGGCAAAAUAAUGUAAAGUAUUUGUCUUCAUUAAAAAAAAAGUAAAGUAUUUGUCCUCCUUGAUAUUCAUAAUCCAUAACUUUUUAAAAGUGGCAAAAUAUUUACUGUAGCAAUCAAAAUAUUCAUAAUCUCUCUCUGAAAGCAUCAGCAAGUAACAGAGGAAGGGAGGAACCUGAAAAAUUAGCAAUCAGUCAAAACUCUCUCUCUCAUCUUAUGGAGCUUCAAUUAUCUCGUCAAUGGCGGCCUCUGAGACCGUCAAUGUAUCAUCUUCUAGACAAGCUUGCGGAAAUGUACUUGUUGUUUUCAUCCUCAUAUUGAUCGGAGUUCUCGCUUUCUCGAUCCGUCUCUUCUCUGUCAUCAAGUACGAGAGCGUCAUUUAUGAAUUCGAUCCGUAUUUUAAUUAUCGAGUUACUCAGGUCUUCGAUCUAAUUUUCAUGCUGAAAUAUUAUUUUUUCCGUCGAAUUCUGAAAUUACAGUACUUUCUACAAUUUGGACUUGCGGAGUUUUUGCCUUUUUUUUAGGUUUAUGUGUCUUUUAAACAUAAUGAUUUGUUGAAGAUGCUGAAUUUUGCAAGUUAGGUUAUUAGGUGUUAGAUAGUCAGCGGAUAGCAAGUGUUAGGGUUAAUUUUCUGUUUAUUUUGCUUCCAUUUUUUUUCCCUUGCGCCUUUCAUAUUAUCAACAUUUCCACAUUUUUUUCCCCUGUACUGCUUUGAAAUGUUAAUAUCUACAGAAAUGUGUAGUACUAAAGAUAAACUAUUGUUUAUUGCUGGUGUAAGAGGGACUAGGUAUAGUGAAUGAUGAUGUUUCAAGUCAAUUAGCAAAUGCAGUUCAAGUGGAGUUUUCGGGUUGCGGAAUAAUAUUGAGCUUUUGGAGACCAUUCAGGUUUAUCUUGCUUAUAAGAAAACAUCAAUGUCUUAAGGCGCACCUGAUGUAUGGACUCACGAACCAUUAAGGAUGGUCACUUCUUGAACAUGAUAAGAUGAUUUGAGGCAAAGUUUUUUAAACCUUAGAGACUUAAUUCCUCAUGGGAGUGUUAAUCCCUUAUGGGGGUUCAGUUGCAUGAAUCAAUAGUUCUCCUCGAAAUAAAAGCUUCUUAUACUAGGGUAAUUAUUUCAUAUAUGCAGUUGUUUGCCUUUGCCAAUCGUAUGCCUUGUAGUUCAUAUGAAAUGUGAACUUAUUCGUGUCUUGGUUGUAUCUCCAGCAGCCUGUGCGGCAUAUCCUUAAUAUAUUAUGAAAUUUUUAUGUGCUUAGUCGCUUAGUUUCAUACUAAUGUGGUAUUUAUAACUUGGUCCCCUACGCCUAAUUUUCUUUAAACAAUGAUGAUGUGCAUUAUUGGGAUGUAUCACGACUUUCUGGCAUUUCAUCUUAUGGUUUCAUUUUUGUUAAGUUAUUUCAGUUAUUAAUAAGUAGAUUAUAUCAAAUUCGUCAAGUAUAUAUGUUAUACUAUUCACAUAAAACUUUUAUGUCGGAAUUUAUUAAAACUUAUAAACUUAGGUGUAACAUCAUGAACAUAUUCAUAUUAGAAAUAUGUCCAAUAAAUUAAAGUUGU